AGGUUCUUUUCACCCAGAUGAAUUGAAGAGGACUCGACAGGAUGUUGGAAAAGAAAAACAAGGACAGCUUGUGAGCAGCUUCUGCAGCAUGACCAGUAAUUCUGACAUCCUGGCAAUGACAGCAUCUCUGUUUCACACCCGAUCUGUGCUGUUCUAGUGACCAUCAUGUUGACAAGAGCUCCUUCAACCAAGAAUAACACUUGGGACAGGAGACCAGCAUGCUUUCAUGUCUCUGCCAGUCCUGGGCUGCGCCAGCGCCAUUUGGCUAGUUUUUGCACUGGGAUCCGAGAGCCGGAAAUGAAGACUUCUUUCCAUUAGCGUUGGUGGCUGAGGAUUUCAGACAGGCUAUGAAGCAAAAGGAGCUGAAGGCCCGCGGCUUUGCAGUGUUCCUCUUGGAGAAGCCGGGCAGUCGUACCUGAGAUGUUUUGGACAGUGCCUUUGUAAACAAAUGAGAUGUGUCCCUUGCUACCUAGGUCAAGCUUGGGUUUGGUUUCCAGGCCAACAGCUUAGAGUUGUGGAAAGAGUCAUGAAUUCAGGUUACCAAACCAUCUGCUGGCUGCAUUUUAAAAAGCAAUUAAAGCAAAAUUGUUUCCAGCCCUUCUGGUUGCAAGAUGUAGCCUAAGGAGAGAUAGCCAAGCCAAGAUUUGCCUGAUUCUGCCACAGCUCCAAGUAUGAAUUACUUUGAUACAAUCCCUGUGCUGUGCAUGCUGUAUGGUUCAGAGUUCCUCAGGGAGCGUACAGGUGAACAGGGCUGCCAUGCUAUUAGCACAAAGGCCUGAAAGAUGAUAAAAUGCAGGA